CGUAGGGAGCAAGCGUUAUCCGGAUUUACUGGGUGUAAAGGGCGCGCAGGCGGGCGGCAAGUUGGAAGUGAAAUCCGGGGGCUUAACCCCCGAACUGCUUUCAAAACUGCUGGUCUUGAGUGAUGGAGAGGCAGGCGGAAUUCCGUGUGUAGCGGUGAAAUGCGUAGAUAUACGGAGGAACACCAGUGGCGAAGGCGGCCUGCUGGACAUUAACUGACGCUGAGGCGCGAAAGCGUGGGGAGCAA
rnacentral:rRNA from 1 species